rnacentral:misc_RNA from 1 species
GAGUUUAUGGUUUUGUGAGUUUAUGUUUGUGUAAUUGAAAUUUGAACUUUGGAAAAUUCGACGUAUCAUCUGUUCCUUGCUCUUUAAGCGUUCAGAUUAGAAAAAAUUGCUUGAUUAGAUUCAAAUUGCUUGGCAGUUACCUGGAAAGUCUAAUUUUAUAUGUUACAUAGGGGAUUAUAUCACAAGCGGGCAAAUAAUGUGCUGUGGCAAUACUGUAAAGCUUGUUGAUACAUAGUCCUGUGUAUUAUCUGCGCAUCAGUUGUUGCAAUAUAUACAUUGGUGGAAUUGUGGUGUAUGUAGUGCAUGAUACCAAAGACUAAAGAGAAUGCGACAACAUUGUAACUUUAUAAUUUUGUUUGCUUCAAACAUGUAGUUCUUUCUAUCAACACAAAUAGCUUAGCGUGCAUUUUGUUCUUUUGACUGCAGAUUGAUUAGUAAAGUAUUAUGGUGCAGCAGUUUACAGGAGAUUGUUUCAAUUAUAUGUUAUUUUGUCAUUGUUGGUACAAUAUUUCAUAUUUCUUGCCUGUGUUGUAUAUUGG